UACGAAGGGGGCUAGCGUUGCUCGGAAUCACUGGGCGUAAAGCGCACGUAGGCGGAUUGCUAAGUCAGGGGUGAAAUCCUGGAGCUCAACUCCAGAACUGCCUUUGAUACUGGCGAUCUCGAGUCCGGGAGAGGUGAGUGGAACUGCAAGUGUAGAGGUGAAAUUCGUAGAUAUUCGCAAGAACACCAGUGGCGAAGGCGGCUCACUGGCCCGGUACUGACACUGAGGUGCGAAAGCGUGGGGAGCAAACAGG
rnacentral:rRNA from 1 species